ACUCCUACGGGAGGCAGCAGUGGGGAAUAUUGCACAAUGGGCGCAAGCCUGAUGCAGCCAUGCCGCGUGUGUGAAGAAGGCCUUCGGGUUGUAAAGCACUUUCAGCAGUGAGGAAGAGUGUGUAUUUAAUAGAUGCGCAUUUUGACGUUUAGCUGCAGAAGAAGCACCGGCUAACUCCGUGCCAGCAGCCGCGGUAAUACGGAGGGUGCGAGCGUUAAUCGGAAUUACUGGGCGUAAAGCGCAUGCAGGUGGUUUGUUAAGUCAGAUGUGAAAGCCCGGGGCUCAACCUCGGAACUGCAUUUGAAACUGGCAGGCUAGAGUACUGUAGAGGGGGUAGAAUUUCAGGUGUAGCGGUGAAAUGCGUAGAGAUCUGAAGGAAUACCGGUGGCGAAGGCGGCCCCCUGGACAGAUACUGACACUCAGAUGCGAAAGCGUGGGGAGCAAACAGGAUUAGAUACCCUGGUAGGAUAGCG
rnacentral:rRNA from 1 species